UAAGACAGAGGGUGCAAGCGUUGUUCGGAAUUACUGGGCGUAAAGGGCGUGUAGGCGGUGAGGUGUGUCUGGUGUGAAAGCCCUCGGCUUAACCGGGGAAUGGCAUUAGAAACUACCUUGCUGGAGUGCAGGAGAGGAUGGCGGAAUUCCCAGUGUAGAGGUGAAAUUCGUAGAUACUGGGAGGAACACCGGAAGCGAAGGCGGCCAUCUGGUCUGUAACUGACGCUGAGACGCAAAAGCGUGGGGAGCAAACAGGAUUAGAUACCCUGGUAGUCCACGCCGUAAACGAUGUUCACUAGAUGUUGGGAGUAUUGACCCUUCCAGCGUCGCAGCUAACGCAUUAAGUGAACCGCCUGGGGAGUACGGUCGCAAGACUA
rnacentral:rRNA from 1 species